AGCUACAGGCUUAACACAUGCAAGUCGAGGGGCAGCAUGGUCUUAGCUUGCUAAGACUGAUGGCGACCGGCGCACGGGUGAGUAACACGUAUCCAACCUGCCGUCUACUCUUGGACAGCCUUCUGAAAGGAAGAUUAAUACAAGAUGGCAUCAUGAGUCCGCAUGUUCACAUGAUUAAAGGUAUUCCGGUGGACGAUGGGGAUGCGUUCCAUUAGAUAGUAGGCGGGGUAACGGCCCACCUAGUCUUCGAUGGAUAGGGGUUCUGAGAGGAAGGUCCCCCACAUUGGAACUGAGACACGGUCCAAACUCCUACGGGAGGCAGCAGUGAGGAAUAUUGGUCAAUGGGCGAGAGCCUGAACCAGCCAAGUAGCGUGAAGGAUGACUGCCCUAUGGGUUGUAAACUUCUUUUAUAAAGGAAUAAAGUCGGGUAUGGAUACCCGUUUGCAUGUACUUUAUGAAUAAGGAUCGGCUAACUCCGUGCCAGCAGCCGCGGUAAUACGGAGGAUCCGAGCGUUAUCCGGAUUUAUUGGGUUUAAAGGGAGCGUAGAUGGAUGUUUAAGUCAGUUGUGAAAGUUUGCGGCUCAACCGUAAAAUUGCAGUUGAUACUGGAUAUCUUGAGUGCAGUUGAGGCAGGCGGAAUUCGUGGUGUAGCGGUGAAAUGCUUAGAUAUCACGAAGAACUCCGAUUGCGAAGGCAGCCUGCUAAGCUGCAACUGACAUUGAGGCUCGAAAGUGUGGGUAUCAAACAGGAUUAGAUACCCUGGUAGUCCACACGGUAAACGAUGAAUACUCGCUGUUUGCGAUAUACUGCAAGCGGCCAAGCGAAAGCGUUAAGUAUUCCACCUGGGGAGUACGCCGGCAACGGUGAAACUCAAAGGAAUUGACGGGGGCCCGCACAAGCGGAGGAGCAUGUGGUUUAAUUCGAUGAUACGCGAGGAACCUUACCCGGGCUUAAAUUGCAGAUGAAUUACGGUGAAAGCCGUAAGCCGCAAGGCAUCUGUGAAGGUGCUGCAUGGUUGUCGUCAGCUCGUGCCGUGAGGUGUCGGCUUAAGUGCCAUAACGAGCGCAACCCUUGUUGUCAGUUACUAACAGGUUCCGCUGAGGACUCUGACAAGACUGCCAUCGUAAGAUGUGAGGAAGGUGGGGAUGACGUCAAAUCAGCACGGCCCUUACGUCCGGGGCUACACACGUGUUACAAUGGGGGGUACAGAGGGCCGCUACCACGCGAGUGGAUGCCAAUCCCCAAAACCCCUCUCAGUUCGGACUGGAGUCUGCAACCCGACUCCACGAAGCUGGAUUCGCUAGUAAUCGCGCAUCAGCCACGGCGCGGUGAAUACGUUCCCGGGCCUUGUACACACCGCCCGUCAAGCCAUGGGAGCCGGGGGUACCUGAAGUGCGUAACCGCGAGGAGCGCCCUAGGGUAAAACUGGUGACUGGGGCUAAGUAA
rnacentral:rRNA from 1 species